rnacentral:rRNA from 1 species
UACGUAGGUGCCAAGCGUUGUCCGGAUUUACUGGGCGUAAAGAGCGCGCAGGCGGUCGAUCAAGUCGAGUGUGAAAGCCCCCGGCUCAACUGGGGAGGGUCAUUCGAUACUGAUCGACUCGAAGGCAGGAGAGGGUAGUGGAAUUCCCGGUGUAGUGGUGAAAUGCGUAGAUAUCGGGAGGAACACUAGUGGCGAAGGCGACUACCUGGCCUGUUCUUGACGCUGAGGCGCGAAAGCUAGGGGAGCAAACGGG